rnacentral:rRNA from 1 species
AACCUUUACACUGCACGACAGUGCGAUAGGGGGACUCCGAGUGCGAGGGCAUAUAGCCCUCGCUUUUCUGAACCGUAAGGUGGUUCAGGAACAAGGACUGGGCAAGACCGGUGCCAGCCGCCGCGGUAAUACCGGCAGCACGAGUGAUGGCCGCUCUUAUUGGGCCUAAAGCGUCCGUAGCUGGCCGAUCAAGUCCGUCGGGAAAUCCGCACGCCUAACGUGCGGGCGUCCGGUGGAAACUGAUCGGCUUGGGACCGGAAGACCAGAGGGGUACGUCCGGGGUAGGAGUGAAAUCCCGUAAUCCUGGACGGACCACCGGUGGCGAAAGCGCCUCUGGAAGACGGAUCCGACGGUGAGGGACGAAAGCUCGGGUCACGAACCGGAUUAGAUACCCGGGUAGUCCGAGCUGUAAACGAUGUCUGCUAGGUGUGACACAGGCUACGAGCCUGUGUUGUGCCGUAGGGAAGCCGUGAAGCAGACCGCCUGGGAAGUACGUCCGCAAGGAUGAAACUUAA